rnacentral:rRNA from 1 species
UCCUUCGGGAUGAUGAAGUUAGCAGAAAGUGGCGAACGGGUGAGUAACGCGUGGGUAAUCUAACCCUGUAAUGGGGGAUAACCCUCCGAAAGGAGGGCAAUUACCGCAUAAUAUCUUCUCCUCCCAGGAAGAGAAGAUUUAAAGAUGGCCUCUAUACUAUGCUAUCACUUCAGGAUGAGCCUGCGUCCUAUUAGUUAGUUGGUGGGGUAAUGGCCUACCAAGACUACAAUGGGUAGCCGGUCUGAGAGGAUGUACGGCCACACUGGGACUGAGAUACGGCCCAGACUCCUACGGGAGGCAGCAGUGGGGGAAUAUUGCGCAAUGGGGGAAACCCUGACGCAGCGACGCCGCGUGGAUGAUGAAGGCCUUUGGGUUGUAAAUCCUGUUCUGGGGGAAGAAACCUUAAGGGUCCAAUAAACCCUUAAGCUGACGGUACCCCAAGAGAAAGCUCCGGCUAAUUAUGUG